UACGAAGGGGGCUAGCGUUGUUCGGAAUUACUGGGCGUAAAGCGCGCGCAGGCGGCUAUCCAAGUCAGUGGUGAAAGCCCGGAGCUCAACUCCGGAACUGCCAUUGAAACUGUUUAGCUUGAGGAUGAGAGAGGUGAGUGGAAUUCCCAGUGUAGAGGUGAAAUUCGUAGAUAUUGGGAGGAACACCAGUGGCGAAGGCGGCUCACUGGUCCGGUACUGACGCUGAGGUGCGAAAGCGUGGGGAGCAAACAGG
rnacentral:rRNA from 1 species